rnacentral:tRNA from 1 species
UAGAGAAUAAGCUAAUUUUAAAGCUGUUAGAUUUACACUCUGACCAUGAUUUGUUUUAUCUUCUUUUC